rnacentral:rRNA from 1 species
AGAACGAACGCUGGCGGCAUGCCUAACACAUGCAAGUCGGACGCUUUCGGGGGUUUCGGCCUCCGAGGGAGUGGCGGACGGGUGAGUAGCGCGUGGGAACCUGCCCCUUUGUGGGGGAUAACCGAGGGAAACUUCGGCUAAUACCGCAUGCGCCCGGGGGUAACUCCGGGGAAAGAUUUAUCGCAGAGGGAGGGGCCCGCGUCGGAUUAGGUAGUUGGUGGGGUAACGGCCUACCAAGCCGGUGAUCCGUAGCUGGUCUGAGAGGAUGAUCAGCCACACUGGGACUGAGACACGGCCCAGACUCCUACGGGAGGCAGCAGUGGGGAAUAUUGGACAAUGGGCGCAAGCCUGAUCCAGCAAUGCCGCGUGAGUGAUGAAGGCCUUAGGGUUGUAAAGCUCUUUCGGCGGGGACGAUGAUGACGGUACCCGCAGAAGAAGCCCGGCUAACUUCGUGCCAGCAGCCGC